rnacentral:rRNA from 1 species
AGUGAACGCUGGCGGUAGGCCUAACACAUGCAAGUCGAACGGCAGCACAGUAAGAGCUUGCUCUUACGGGUGGCGAGUGGCGGACGGGUGAGGAAUACAUCGGAAUCUACUUUUUCGUGGGGGAUAACGUAGGGAAACUUACGCUAAUACCGCAUACGACCUACGGGUGAAAGCAGGGGAUCUUCGGACCUUGCGCGAUUGAAUGAGCCGAUGUCGGAUUAGCUAGUUGGCGGGGUAAAGGCCCACCAAGGCGACGAUCCGUAGCUGGUCUGAGAGGAUGAUCAGCCACACUGGAACUGAGACACGGUCCCGACUCCUACGGGAGGCAGCAGUGGGGAAUAUUGGACAAUGGGCGCAAGCCUGAUCCAGCCAUACCGCGUGGGUGAAGAAGGCCUUCGGGUUUUAAAGCCCUUUUGUUGGGAAAGAAAAGCAGCAGGUUAAUACCCCGCUGUUCUGACGGUACCCAAAGAAUAAGCACCGGCUAACUUCGUG